rnacentral:tRNA from 14 species
GCCUCCUUAGCUCAGUGAGGUAGAGCGCUGGUUUAGAAAACCGGAGGUCGUGAGUUUAAAUCUCACAGGAGGCA